CCUGACUGCUAUCGGAUUGAUACUAAGCCAUGCGAGUCAUUGUAGUAAUACAAGGCAGACGGCUCAGUAACGCGUAGUCAACCUAACCUAUGGAUGGGAAUAACCUCGGGAAACUGAGUAUAAUGCCCGAUAGAACAUUAUGCCUGGAAUGGUUUAUGUUCCAAAUGAUUUAUCGCCGUAGGAUGGGACUGCGGCCUAUCAGUUUGUUGGUGAGGUAAUGGCCCACCAAGACUAUUACAGGUACGGGCUCUGAGAGGAGUGGCCCGGAGAUGGGUACUGAGACACGGACCCAGGCCCUAUGGGGCGCAGCAGGCGAGAAAACUUUGCAAUGUGCGAAAGCACGACAAGGUUAAUCCGAGUGGUUUCUGCUAAGGGAACCUUUUGUCGGUCCUAGAAACACCGAUGAAUAAGGGGUGGGCAAGUUCUGGUGUCAGCCGCCGCGGUAAAACCAGCACCUCAAGUGGUCAGGAUGAUUAUUGGGCCUAAAGCAUCCGUAGCCGGCUUUGUUAGUUUUCGGUUAAAUCUGUACGCUUAACGUACAGGCUGCCGGGAAUACUGCAGAACUAGGGAGUGGGAGAGGUAGACGGUACUCGGUAGGAAGGGGUAAAAUCCUUUGAUCUAUUGAUGACCACCUGUGGCGAAGGCGGUCUACCAGAACACGUCCGACGGUGAGGGAUGAAAGCUGGGGGAGCAAACCGGAUUAGAUACCCGGGUAGUCCCAGCUGUAAACUAUGCAAACUCAGUGAUGCAUUGGCUUGUGGCCAAUGCAGUGCUGCAGGGAAGCCGUUAAGUUUGCCGCCUGGGAAGUACGUACGCAAGUAUGAAACUUAAAGGAAUUGGCGGGGGAGCACCACAAGGGGUGAAGCCUGCGGUUC
rnacentral:rRNA from 1 species